UUCGUGAGAUUAUUAUAUUUCAGGCAUUGAUUUCUGAAGCCCAAAUCCAUGCCGUUGGUGUGGAUUGGUACAUUGUCAUUGGUGGGCUGGGUGGUGUCUGUUCAUCUGGCUGUUUCUGUAGCUUCUGUCGUUUUGACUUCUUGGCCAUUCUGGACAGUGUUUGGAGUUUCAGCUUUAUUCCAAUCAAUAUUUAAUGAUUGGAAUAAAGUUAUAAUGUUGUUGCCAUAUUGCAACCCUCUAUAUCUCUCUUAUGCUCAUCUGGUUUAACUAUCAUAGUUCUUAUUAGGAAGUACAACAAGAGAUAUGAAAGUUGGACUGGGUGAGUAUGGGAGAGGUAUAGAGGGCAGCAGUAUGGUGAUGGCAUUGGCAAAACAGUUCUACAAAACAUCAUUAGAUAUUGAUUGAAUAAAGUGGAGAUUCUGAACAUUUCAGAGUGGCGGAGAGGUCGGGGUGAUAGAAGCUAUAGAAGUGGCAAGACAACCAGACACCAUUCAGCCCAUUAAUGACAAUAUACCAGUCUAUACCAAUGGUUUGGAUUUCGGCUUCAAAGAUCGAAGUUUGAAGUAUAAUAAUCCCA
rnacentral:lncRNA from 1 species